UACGUAGGAUGCAAGCGUUGUCCGGAUUUACUGGGCGUAAAGCGCGCGCAGGCGGCAGUGUAAGUAAGGUGUGAAAUCUCCCUGCUCAACGGGGAGGGUGCACUUUAGACUACACAGCUAGAGGUCGGUAGAGGGGGGUGGAAUUGCUGGUGUAGCGGUGAAAUGCGUAGAGAUGCGGAGGAACACCGAUGGCGAAGGCAGCCCCCUGGGCUAACACUGACGCUCAGGCACGAAAGCGUGGGGAGCAAACAGG
rnacentral:rRNA from 1 species